UAGCGGCGAGUGCAGCGGCAAGAGCUCAGAUUUGAAAUCGUGCUUUGCGGCACGAGUUGUAGAUUGCAGGUUGGAGUCUGUGUGGAAGGCGGUGUCCAAGUCCCUUGGAACAGGGCGCCCAGGAGGGUGAGAGCCCCGUGGGAUGCCGGCGGAAGCAGUGAGGCCCUUCUGACGAGUCGAGUUGUUUGGGAAUGCAGCUCCAAGCGGGUGGUAAAUUCCAUCUAAGGCUAAAUACUGGCGAGAGACCGAUAGCGAACAAGUACUGUGAAGGAAAGAUGAAAAGCACUUUGAAAAGAGAGUGAAACAGCACGUGAAAUUGUUGAAAGGGAAGGGUAUUGCGCCCGACAUGGGGAUUGCGCACCGCUGCCUCUCGUGGGCGGCGCUCUGGGCUUUCCCUGGGCCAGCAUCGGUUCUUGCUGCAGGAGAAGGGGUUCUGGAACGUGGCUCUUCGGAGUGUUAUAGCCAGGGCCAGAUGCUGCGUGCGGGGACCGAGGACUGCGGC
rnacentral:rRNA from 1 species